GUCUUUUAGGAAUAAAUUUAAAGUCUAACCUGCCCACUGAUAAUUUAAAUGGCCGCAGUAUCUUAACUGUGCAAAGGUAGCAUAAUCAUUAGUCUUUUAAUUGAAGGCUGGAAUGAAAGGUUGAAUGAGAUAUAAACUGUUUCAUAGAAAUUUGUAAUAAAAUUUUAUUUUUUAGUUAAAAAGCUAAAAUUUAAUUAAAAGACGAGAAGACCCUAUAAAUCUUUAUAUUUAAAAAAUUUUAAUUAUUUAGAUAAAUUAAAUUAUAAUUUUUUUAAGUAUUUUAUUGGGGUGAUAUUAAAAUUUAAUAAACUUUUAAUUUAUAAAAACCAUAAAUUAAUGUUUUAUUGAUCCAUAAAUUAUGAUUAAAAAAUUAAGUUACUUUAGGGAUAACAGCGUAAUUUUUUUAGAGAGUUCAUAUUGAUAAAAAAGAUUGCGACCUCGAUGUUGGAUUAAGAUAUAAUUUUAGGUGCAGUAGCUUAAAUUUAAAGUCUGUUCGACUUUUAAAUUCUUACA
rnacentral:rRNA from 1 species